UGCUACCUGUAAAUACUCUUCAUACUACCUUGGAUCUGUGACCCAGAACUGGGAAGGGAGCAAAAGAGUUGGCAGCUGACAACCUUUCCAGCACUGUAUAGAGAAGGAAAAAAAUCAGUAUACUGAUACAUUGAAAAAGUCCAAAAAAUGUGCAGCAUAUAACACCUGUGAUCCUCCCACCUCCACUAAGGGAUUACAUUUCAAUGCAAAUUUAAUAUUAAGCUCAGAUUUUCAGUGUUGGUCACCUUGGACUGCAUCCUGACCUCCAACUGCUCUUCAAAAUUUCCUCCUCCUUUUCUAGAGGGUGCAAAAUGCAUUAUUAAUAUUUCCUUUGCUCUGUAUUGGAAACUGGCUUCAAAUAAUGGCUAUAUGAAUUGUUAAAUUAAACUAUUAUGUGCCUUGGAGU
rnacentral:lncRNA from 1 species